rnacentral:rRNA from 1 species
GACGAACGCUGGCGGCGUGCCUAAUACAUGCAAGUCGAGCGGAAGUUGAAGAGCUUGCUCUUCAACUUUAGCGGCGGACGGGUGAGUAACACGUGGCAACCUGCCCUGCAGAUCGGGAUAACUCCGGGAAACCGGUGCUAAUACCGAAUAGUUUUGGGUCCCUCCUGGGACCUAACGGAAAGACGGUUUCGGCUGUCACUGCAGGAUGGGCCCGCGGCGCAUUAGCUAGUUGGUGGGGUAACGGCCCACCAAGGCGACGAUGCGUAGCCGACCUGAGAGGGUGAUCGGCCACACUGGGACUGAGACACGGCCCAGACUCCUACGGGGGGCAGCAGUAGGGAAUCUUCCGCAAUGGACGCAAGUCUGACGGAGCAACGCCGCGUGAGUGAUGAAGGUUUUCGGAUCGUAAAACUCUGUUGCGAGGGAAGAAACCGUGCCAAUUAACUACUGGCACCUUGACGGUACCUCGCCAGAAAGCCACGGCUAACUACGUGCCAGCCGCCGCCGUAA